GAUGAACGCUGGCGGCGUGCCUAAUACAUGCAAGUCGAGCGAAUGGAUUAAGAGCUUGCUCUUAUGAAGUUAGCGGCGGACGGGUGAGUAACACGUGGGUAACCUGCCCAUAAGACUGGGAUAACUCCGGGAAACCGGGGCUAAUACCGGAUAACAUUUUGAACCGCAUGGUUCGAAAUUGAAAGGCGGCUUCGGCUGUCACUUAUGGUUGGACCCGAGUCGCAUUAGCUAGUUGGUGAGGUAACGGCGCACCAAGGCAACGAUGCGUAGCCGACCUGAGAGGGUGAUCGGCCACACUGGGACGGAGACACGGCCCAGACUCCUACGGGAGGCAGCAGUAGGGAAUCUUCCGCAAUGGACGAAAGUCUGACGGAGCAACGCCGCGUGAGUGAUGAAGGCUUUCGGGUCGUAAAACUCUGUUGUUAGGGAAGAACAAGUGCUAGUUGAAUAAGCUGGCACCUUGACGGUACCUAACCAGAAAGCCACGGCUAACUACGUGCCAGCCGCCGCCGUAA
rnacentral:rRNA from 1 species